rnacentral:rRNA from 1 species
AAUGGAGGAAACUCUGAUCCAGCCAUGCCGCGUGAGUGAAGAAGGCCUUAGGGUUGUAAAGCUCUUUCAAUUGUGAAGAUAAUGACGGUAGCAAUAGAAGAAGCUCCGGCUAAAUUCGUGCCAGCAGCCGCGGUAAUACGAAUGGAGCGAGCGUUGUUCGGAAUCACUGGGCUUAAAGCGUAUGUAGGCGGACUUACAAGUCAGGAGUGAAAUCCCAGAGCUCAACUCUGGAACUGCUCUUGAAACUGUAAGUCUAGAAUUCUGGAGAGGUUGGGAGAAUUCCGAGUGUAGAGGUGAAAUUCGCAGAUAUUCGGAGGAAUACCAGUGGCGUAGGCGCCCAACUGGACAGAUAUUGACGCUCAGAUACGAAAGCGUGGGGAGCAAACAGGAUU